rnacentral:rRNA from 1 species
AACGGCCGCAGUACUUUGACUGUGCUAAGGUAGCAAAAUAAAUAGGCCUUUAAUUAAGGUCGAGUAUGAAUGGCAUUAUGGGUGAAAGCUGUCUUAUAUGUGAUAUUAUAAAUUUAUUUAGUGGGUGAAAAUGCCCACAUUUAAAUAUUAGACGAGAAGACCCUUAGAGUUUUUAAUAAGCAUGCAACUAAUUGUGAUAAAAAUGAUUUUUUUUGUUGGGGCGACAUAGUAUCACAUUAACAUACUACAUUACACAUGUACAAAUCUCUUUAAUAAAUGAAUAUAACUACCUAAGGGAUAACAGCAUAAUUUUAUUUUAAGAUUGUGACCUCGAUGUUGGACUAGGGACUAAAUAUAUAAGCCACAUA